UGGCAAAAGAACAUGUUUUUAUUCUGCUAUUCACAGUGCUUUUUCCUCUCAGCCAGGGACCCUGACCAGACCAUACGCCUUCCCCUAUGAACAGCCUGCGGCUCACAGCGACCUGUCAGCAGGUCUGAGGUGAGCCUCGCACAAAGGGCUUCUGCACAGAAAGGCCCAGGACUCACUGCGACUGACCCCUGAGUGAAAGAGAGAAUACAAGCCAAAAGGAGAGACUGGCAGGCAAACGGCUCACAAAACCUCUCCGCCAGCUACUUCCUCAGAUCCCAGCUGGACUGCAGCCCACAAGCAUGUACAGGCUGGUCUGAAGGUGCGAAGCUCUUUCCUUUGUCUUCCUUUUACCAGCGAGAUGCGGUACAAAUCAAUCAAAAGUAUGCCUGCAGCACUUGAUGUCACCCAGGACCUCUCCAAAAAAGAUUCCUUAAUAUUCUUCUGGGAGACUGAGCUACUGAGUCCUAUUAACCUAAACAGAAAACAAAUACCAAUACACAGUAAGUCUGCAGCUGCUUCAAGACAAUGAUUUUGAUGACGAAGAAGACAAAAACUGUGGUAAAAACUGAAAAUGGUCAGUGAACAUCUGAAAAACAGUGUGGAAAACGUUGACCUUAAUGAAUGUUUGCUCCACUCAGUAAAAUUGUCCAAAUGAAAUACUGACAGCUUUAUUACCUAGUGCAUUGUAAUAAACUAAAAUUCAAUAUUCCGGUUCCACUACAGCUAUUAUUUUGGAGCG
rnacentral:lncRNA from 1 species